GACAGAGGUGGCAAGCGUUGUUCGGAAUUACUGGGCUUAAAGGGCGCGUAGGCGGUGGAGUAAGUCCGGGGUGGAAGGCUGAGGCUUAACCUCAGGAUUGCCCUGGAAACUGCAUCACUUGAGUCAGCAAGGGGAUGGCGGAAUUCCUGGUGUAGCGGUGAAAUGCGUAGAUAUCAGGAGGAAGGCCGGUGGCGAAGGCGGCCAUCUGGUGCUGAACUGACGCUGAGGCGCGAAAGCGUGGGGAGCAAACAGG
rnacentral:rRNA from 1 species